UACGUAGGGUGCAAGCGUUGUCCGGAAUUAUUGGGCGUAAAGAGCUCGUAGGCGGUCUGUCGCGUCGGGUGUGAAAAUCCAGGGCUUAACCCUGGACCUGCAUUCGAUACGGGCAGACUAGAGUUCGGUAGGGGAGACUGGAAUUCCUGGUGUAGCGGUGAAAUGCGCAGAUAUCGGGAAGAACACCCGUGGCGAAGGCGGUUCUCUGGGACGGUACUGACGCUGAGACGCGAAAGCGUGGGGAGCGAACAGG
rnacentral:rRNA from 1 species